AAUCAGGUACCGUGCGCCCAGCAUCACACACCCUCCGAUCCAUCCACCCGCUGUCAGCGCGGGCACAUCUGUAUGUGUCUUGUGUGCACAUUUGUUCAUUUUCCACUGGGCCAUUUAUAAGUUGCAGAAGUCAUGACCCUUCACCUUUAAAUUCUUGAGGAAGAGUCGCCUGCCCCCAGGAUCGUGCCAACACCACUGUGGUUCCAAUAGCAGGUGAGGAGCUCACAGGGAGAUGAGAUCCCUCUGCAGAGAGGUCCGAGUUCCUGUUUUCUCAGUUGUUCCCAAAACCUCCCAUAUGAGGAACACAGCCUCUCUCUGCCCCUCCCCCAGCCCGCAGCCCUGCCCCGGGACCCACCAGCCCAGGGCAGGCGGCCCUGGAGGUGCCAAGCCAGCAGUCCCAUUCACAUAUGAAUUCCCAGCCACACCUGCUGACAGCUGGACACAGGGUGAAGGGGACCCUGUCCAGCCCCCUGUGGCCCUGCACCCCUGUGCUUGCACAUGGUGGCCUGUUCUGUAGGCCCAGGAAUCUGGGCAUCUGGCUUAGAGAAAGUGACCAGGGGAACUCUGGCCUUCAAGGAAACCAGGUAUGAAAUCCCCUUCCUGCCCAAGAAAAAGAGAAGGCAGGUUCAGCAGAGGGUCUGUGCACACCCUGGACGAGCCCAGGCCCACCUGAGCUCUCCCCGCCCAGGUCCCACAGUGCAGGCACACCUUGGUCCCAGGGGAAGCGACACAUGCUGGGGACAGGGGUGGGGGAUGGAGUGGAUAGUGCACAGUGCUGUCACCACCUGGGAACUGACCGAGUGGACUGGGCUCCCCCCAUUUGCGGCCCCAGCUGGGAGCCCCAGGGACAGGCCCUCCCUGAGUCAGCUCUGGGUCACCGGCACCUCAGUGACUCAGCCCAGGGAAGCAGGCGAGGGCGGCUAUAAAACACGCUUGUCUGGAGCCUGUGGGGUGGGGCCUCAUCCCCCUUGUGCAGUUAGCCUCCCUCUCACUCGCCCAGCCCUGGGGAGAGGCCACAGUAGGCCGGGCAGCUCAGGGCUACCUCCACUGGAGGGGCUGAGGGCAGGCCUGUGGGCCCUGCCAUGGGGCUAGGGGGGAGGGAGGGGGAUGACCCAGUUAAUGGAGAAGGCCGGAGGUGUCACUGCGGCCAUAGGCCAUCGUCCACUUGCCCCGAGGGUUCCUUCUGGAUGGACAGUGCAGAUGAACCAGGAGAAGUAGGGAAGGUAGCCUUGGAGGACUGGGGGUCCCCUCGCUGAGCUGGUGGCCCGUGCGGACAUGGUCGUGUGAGAUCCCAUGUGCUGUGUGGUCCUCACCUUCCCUGGGCCCCAGAACCCUGUGCAGGAUGGGUGUGGAGUGCGGGCCCUGGGGGUCUGGGGAGGGUCCAGGGGGUGAUCACAUGGGCGAGGCAGACCAGGCGAUGGUGUCGAGGGGACACAGGCAGGGGCUGGGGGAGGGACAGGUGUUGGGACCUGGGGCGGGAAUGUGCAGGUGGGGCCGACGGCAUGAGGAGUGUCAGGUCAGGUCACGGGUGCGGCCCCCUGAAGAGGACGCAGAUGAGCUCACCAGGCAGUGAGCUGCUUUCAUUACAAACUCGUUCUUCUGGCCUCUGAAGUCAUAGUGCGACGUGUGCUCUCCUUAAAGAAGGCAGAGGAAACGUUUAUUCAAGAAAAUACUGGGUGGGAGCUGGGAGCAGGGCCCAGGCGACAGUUCAUGAGAACCGUCAAGUUCAUGAGAAGAUGUGGGCUGGGCCCCCCAGCUCCCAGCCCCGUGGCAAUGUCCCCAAAGCAGCAUUCCCCACCCCCCGCAGUGGUGUCAGCCUCUCCCCCGACAUCCACGUCUGAGGGGGUCAACCCUGUGGUUCCUGGGGAAAGGGUGACAGCCUCCCCUGAGGCUGCUGAAGGUGGGUACGAGGUGUGACCCAUGAGGAGGUGGGCUAUACUCUGGAAGAGUGACUUGGGUCUUCUGAUUUAUGGGAGCACACGCGAGGGGAUAGAGGAGGGUGUGGGGUGCAGUGGAGGGAAGAUCAAGGUGUUGACAGGGGCCCACGAGCAGAGGCUGCAGCUGAGGUCGCAGUGCGGGGGUAGGAAGGGCUCUGACUGGUUGGCUGGCUGUUGGCUGAAACACGGUCCAAGAGACGACCCCGCUGCGAGUGAAUGGGAAAUGCCGGAUCUGCCUCUGUUUCCUGCAGAGGGAAGGGGCUCAGAGGCUGAGGAGACAGAGCAUCAGGGACCAGCGGCCUUUCACCAGCAUAACUGUGCCUCAGGGAAAAGGAAAUGCUCAGAAAUUUCAGGAUGACUGCACGCUGCUGCCUCUGAACUGACCCUGAUUCCAAGACCCGAAACAUCACUGGUGUUGCAGUCAGAGUGGGGCUCAUGGAGGUCAGGUGGUCAGUGGAAUCUUAGCUCAGGUCCACCUCGCAGUGAGUCCAGCGGGUCCCAGAACCCAUCCUGCGUCUAUUUCCCCAGUUCCAGUCUGGAUUGGAAUAGGCACCCUCAGCAGCUGGCAGAAUCCCAUAUUGCUCCCCUGACCUGCAGAGUGAGGGCUCUUCUGGUGGGAAAGGCCAGGGAAGCCACUGGAAUAGCCUCCACCGAGUGAACCAAAGUGACACUGCGUUCCUGGAGGGACGGCAGGGAUGAGUGCCACCAUCGGGGGCUGGCAAUUCCCACCACAUCCCCAUUCAACUGUCCUAUCUGGCAGAAGAGAGUGGGUCUUGGAGAGUGACAGUGGAUUAUCAUCAACUUAACCAGGCGGUGACUCCAAUUGCAGCUGCUGUAACAGCUGCGGUUCCAUUGACUGAGCAAAUUAACACAUCCCUCGGUACCUGGUAUGCAGCUAGUGAUCUGGAAAAUGCCUUUUAAUCCAUCCUAGUCCAGAACGCCCACCAGAAGCAGUUUGCCUUCAGCUGGCAAGGCCAGAGAUACACCUUCACUGUCUUAGCUCAGGGGUACACCCCCUCUGUAGGCCUAUGUCACAAUUUAGUUCUCGGGGAGUUUGAGCCAUUCCCUUCCACGAGGGGGCACGUUGGUCCCCUGCCUUGAUGACAUCACGCCGAUGGGAAGUAGUGAGCAGUAAGGAGCAACUACUCUAGACUUACUAGUCAGACGUUCGCAUGUCAGACGGUGGGAACUACAUUCAACUAAAGUUCAGGGGGAGACUUCCCUGGUGGCGCAGUGGUUGGGAGACUGCCUGCCGAUGCAGGGGACACGGGUUCGUGCCCCGGUCCGGGAAGAUCCCGCAUGCUGCGGAGCGGCUGAGCCCGUGAGCCAUGGCCGCUGAGCCUGCGCGUCCGGAGCCUGUGCUCCGCAACAGGAGAGGCCACAACAGUGAGAGGCCUCGUGCCGCAAAAAAUAAAAAAUAAAGUAAAAUUCAGGGGC